CGUACCAACGGACCGGCACACGCUUUCAAGGAUGAAGGUCGAGGACAUCGCGGGAGGCGAUUCAUCAGGAUGAUGAAAAGGGAUUACAGGGAUUAGGGAAAAAACGUGGGCGGGUCAAACCGCCCCUUUUUAC
rnacentral:sRNA from 1 species